ACACAUGCAAGUCGCAGGGUAACAUGAGGAAAGCUUGCUUUCCUUGAUGACGACUGGCGCACGGGUGAGUAACGCGUAUCCAACCUUCCCAUAACUACGGGAUAACCCGUUGAAAGACGGCCUAAUACCGUAUGACAUCGUUUGCUGACAUCAAAUAACGAUUAAAGGUUUAGCGGUUAUGGAUGGGGAUGCGUCUGAUUAGCUUGUUGGCGGGGUAACGGCCCACCAAGGCGACGAUCAGUAGGGGUUCUGAGAGGAAGGUCCCCCACAUUGGAACUGAGACACGGUCCAAACUCCUACGGGAGGCAGCAGUGAGGAAUAUUGGUCAAUGGGCGAGAGCCUGAACCAGCCAAGUAGCGUGCAGGAUGACGGCCCUAUGGGUUGUAAACUGCUUUUAUGUGGGGAUAAAGUGCGUGACGUGUCAUGCAUUGCAGGUACCACAUGAAUAAGGACCGGCUAAUUCCGUGCCAGCAGCCGCGGUAAUACGGAAGGUCCGGGCGUUAUCCGGAUUUAUUGGGUUUAAAGGGAGCGUAGGCUGUCUAUUAAGCGUGUUGUGAAAUUUACCGGCUCAACCGGUGGCUUGCAGCGCGAACUGGUCGACUUGAGUAUGCAGGAAGUAGGCGGAAUUCAUGGUGUAGCGGUGAAAUGCUUAGAUAUCAUGACGAACUCCGAUUGCGCAGGCAGCUUACUGUAGCAUAACUGACGCUGAUGCUCGAAAGUGCGGGUAUCAAACAGGAUUAGAUACCCUGGUAGUCCGCACGGUAAACGAUGGAUGCCCGCUAUUCGUCCUAUUUGGAUGAGUGGCCAAGUGAAAACAUUAAGCAUCCCACCUGGGGAGUACGCCGGCAACGGUGAAACUCAAAGGAAUUGACGGGGGCCCGCACAAGCGGAGGAACAUGUGGUUUAA
rnacentral:rRNA from 1 species